rnacentral:rRNA from 1 species
AUUGAACGCUGGCGGCAUGCCUUACACAUGCAAGUCGAACGGCAGCGGACCUUCGGGUGCCGGCGAGUGGCGAACGGGUGAGUAAUAUAUCGGAACGUACCUUUCAGUGGGGGAUAACAUAGCGAAAGUUACGCUAAUACCGCAUAUUCUGUGAGCAGGAAAGCAGGGGAUCGCAAGACCUUGCGCUGAUUGAGCGGCCGAUAUCAGAUUAGCUAGUUGGUGAGGUAAAGGCUCACCAAGGCGACGAUCUGUAGCGGGUCUGAGAGGAUGAUCCGCCACACUGGAACUGAGACACGGUCCAGACUCCUACGGGAGGCAGCAGUGGGGAAUUUUGGACAAUGGGCGCAAGCCUGAUCCAGCCAUGCCGCGUGAGUGAAGAAGGCCUCGG